rnacentral:rRNA from 1 species
UCGGGAAUUGUCGGCAAUGGGCGAAAGCCUGACCGCGCGACGCCGCGUGAAGGAAGAAGGUCUUCGGAUUGUAAACUUCUUUUAUGGGGGAUGAUUAUGACAGUACCCCAUGAAUAAGGGCCUGCUAACUACGUGCCAGCAGCAGCGGUAAUACGUAGGGCCCGAGCGUUAUCCGGAAUUAUUGGGCGUAAAGAACGUGUAGGCGUUCCUUCAAGUCAGUCGUUAAAUUUCACCGCCCAACGGUGAAACCGCGAGUGAAACUGAAGGAAUAGAGUCUUUCAGGGGCUAGCAGAAUUCUUGGAGUAGAGGUGAAAUUCGUUGAUACCAAGAGGAAUACCAAUGGCGAAGGCAGCUAGCUGGGAAAGUACUGACGCUGAGACGUGAAAGCGUGGGGAGCAAACGGG